AUUUGAAACCUGUCCCUAUAUUUUCCUUCCCAGGAACCCCUGGAUAAAGACCAGGUCAACCAUGGCUGAGGAAACAGACCCAGGCUUCCCAGGGCGGUUAACCCGCCGGCCUCUGGGCAGAGACUGUCAGUGUGCAGAGAUUCUGGGAUGCUGUUCCUGGUUUAUCUGAGUCGGUCCACAGCAGGAAAUGGCAUCAAGAUAGUUCAACUAAGACAUGGUCACUAAAAACAUUAUAAUAAUACCUUUUUGAAAAACUCAGUUUCUCCUAUUUACUAAAUAUUUAUUUCAUCAACAUGGGCUGCAUUCCACUGUGUCAGGAUUCUGCAUGUGCGUGGAGCACUGUUCCAGCCUGAGAAGAUGGUUCUGAGGCCACUUAGCAAGACAUUUUCCAGCAUGAGCAGAUUUCUCUGUGGAAAUAGUGACACUGUUCUGGUGUGUUGUCUUUCCUCAGGGAACUUAAGGGGUAUAAAGCUCCUGAAAAUGUUCUUUAUGCUGGUUGAAGCUCUUAUGUCACUGUACUGAUUCCCUAUGAUGCAGAUUUGAAUCACAGAGUAAUUAAAAUAUGGAUCAAAUAAGGCUGGGGUUCACCAAGGCUGAAAGCUGUAGCCAUUCAAGGCAUCAUUUCUGUAAUGAAAAUAUAGGACCUUUUCAAAACAUGCCUUCAAGAUGGUGUUCCUUUUUCAAACAAAAGUCUAAUGACUGCAUAACUCUUCUUGAGCACAUCUUACACUUUUCUCUAGAUUUGCUUAUUUACAGCUACUGGAACAAAAAGAUGAGAUGAAUAAAGCACACUGAUUGUCCUAAGAGUCUUCUGUGACCAAAAGCACAUGAACUUCUCCCCAGGCUGAGCUUUGACCCUCCCAAGCAUUUCCCCAAAGGCCAUGACACUGCAUCGGAUUGCUCCUGGACGCUUUCCUCACAGUUUUCAACAAAUAUAAACUGAGGAAUGGAACACAGCAUCAGAUUUGCUAAUCAAGAGGCAAUGGUCCCACUCCAAAUGGGUGCUGUGUGUGAAUACAGAGCCCAGGAGAAAGGAAGGAGGUGCGUGAACAUCAAGAAUUGCAAAAUCUUGCUGAACCAAUAGACCAACAGCCAUUAACAUUUGUCAAUGCAAAGAUCCUAAAAUAUGCAAGUGUGGAGUUGUCCUGCCCUAAGAGCUGAAGCUGUGACAAUCACACUGUCAUGGUAGAUAUUUAAGCUCCCCUGAGGUUACUGAAUCUAACAAUGAAUAAACAAUGAAGAGUAGCUAAUUUUUGGAAAUCUCUUUCUAUGACCGGAAGAUAUUCACAAACUCAGAGUGAUUGUUUGGGGUGAAAGAUGGUCCCAUGCCUUGUGGGCCUCUUUUUGCUAUCUAUACAAAGUUGGAAAUGAACCCCUCCCUUACAGGAAGGUGAAUAGCAACCAAAGUGAGCCCACCCUGGGAGGGCAGAGUGGGUGUACUUUCCUCAAAGAGCCCUGAACACAACAGGGCACACAAACAGCCACAGCACCCUCAACAAUGCCCCACCAUCUGCCCACCAGAGCACACAGAUUCACACAGAUUCAGUGACAUAUUCCAAAAACAGGGAAUUAGGGAGGACCCAAGGCAUGGCCAGUGUGGAGAGAGCUUUACUACUUUUAGCGCCAUUGCUAAUUAUUGGAGCAAAGAAGGGCAUACAAGGAAUGGAACCCAACCUGUUUAAAGUAAUAAAUGUCAACCCUAAAGUGCAUGGAAACAUCUCUCCUUCCCUUUUGAGGACCGUGUGCUUCACAAGCUUGGCAUUUGCUGCAUGGGGUUUUCUAAUGUAAUGUGAAUUUUCAAUGUGCUUUGUCUCUGUAGAGUGGCUUUAAAAAGCCCUUGAAGUCCUUAGCUUUAAAUCCAUGCUAAUAGGGGAAGUCUUUUUUUUUUGGAGGUGGGGAGCUUUGGUUGGGAGAAACAUUGACCCAGACUGCACUCUGGGUAAACUAGGGCGAAAGACCUGAUAUCGUCUGCAGGGUACUUAUUAACCACUGUUCAUUUGCAGGAUCAAUAUUUCCAGCAAAGGAGUCAACACUCAAGAUACACUGCUACGUCUCACUUUUUCCUUGACACAACAAUUUAUUUUAUAAAUGCAUCUGCUGGAGAAGAAAAGGCAGUACGAAGGAUUGUGUCUUUUAUCUCCAGGAUAUGCAAAGCACAUUUAUUUUCAGCUUUUAUCUCUGGAAUUGUAUGUUGAUCCCAUACAUAUAGAUUGAUUUUGUUCAGGUAGAUAAUGAAAAGUCAAGUGGAAAAUUACACAAUGGCAUUCACGAUCCUAGUCUUAUAUCGGUAUAUAAAUUGGUUUAUUAUUUCAUUCUAUUAAAGAGGCUUUUUUUUUUGGUACCAGGAAAACUUCAAAAUGCAUUGUGUUGUCAGCCUCACUGAAUUUUCUUUUGGAGGAGGAGGUGGGGAGGGGAAGCCAAAGCCCCGAUUUCUCCUGCUCCUUUUGCUAAUUGUAUUGGCUAAAUGAGCUUUCACAGAAGGGGGUCCUGGCUGCUUUUUGCUCUCCCCCAGCCCACUUGUAGGUUGCACACACGGCUUCUAUAACUCUUUCUCGGUCAGGACAAAGAUAUCCACCGUGCACACCCUGUGACAUAGUGGAUAUUUAUUUCAUCCCGGGCAAUUCUAAAUUUUGUCAUUAUGACUGAAAGAGGCAAUCCCCUCCUGAGCAUUAAGAGGCCAGGGGUGAGAGGGUGGCAGCAUAGAAAAGCCACCACCCAGAGACAGCUUGGAGCCACAAUCCUGGAGGAAAUGUUAUUAAUAAACAUCUUUUGGACAUUUGGUAGCCCGUGGAGCUUGCUCCAGCUUAAAGCAAUUAAUUCAGGACACUGACAUAAACUCUCCAGAUCUUUGACAGCUUGGAGCCGAAAUAAAAAUGCUAGUUCUCCGGGGAAGAGAAGAGGAUGGCUAGCCCUUUUCUGGACUGUUUGCUUAUAGGCCCAGAGAGCAACCUUCCUAGCAGAAUGAAAUGCAAGGGCACAAACAAUGUACCAGGGAGAGAAUAGAAGAUGGGAAUGAACAGUUUGAACUAUUUGCUCAGCAGAAGGGCACCACAAUGCUGGGUAGUGGUUUUCCCAUGCGUCCACUGUCCGUUCUUUGGGAUCUUUUGUUGUUCCCUGUCUCCUUUGGCCAGAUAAGAGCACAGCUGCAGCAUUGCAGCUAACAAGUAAGGCCGUACUUAUCCCCCUAAAUCUCGGGGUGCCUUUACUGUAACAAGUUAUGCUCGGCUGUCUUUUAUUUUACAAGAGGAUGGUGAGGGAGACAAUGGAAGAACAGAGGGGGCGGACGUAUAGGACACUGACACUGCCUAUGUCUGAUUUCUCUUUCUUUUCUUUCUUUCUUUCUUUCUUUCUUUCUUUCUUUCUUUCUUUCUUUCUUUCUUUCUUUCUUUCUUUC